GAAAAGAGAAAAGAAAAGAAAGAAAGAAAGAAUGAAAAAGAGAAAAAGGAGGGAAAGUUCGGUUGGAAAAGUUAGUGAGAAACCGAGAGGUUUUUCUUUCUACCCAUACCCCAUUGAUGAGAUUUAAAGAUAGCUUGGUGGUUUGGCUUAAAGAUUUCAAGCAAAAGAAUAUCGUAUGGGUGCUAAGAAACUGUGCAUGUUGGUGGAUCACAAGGGAUGUGAGAUUUUUGCUACCAAGAAGCUUGAGAUAUCUUGAUUUAAACUCAAGUUGAAUUAUUGAGGAAAGAUAAAUGAUCAAUGCAGGCGUGUUGUCUAGCAUAUCUUGGUUCGCUGUGACGUAGGUAAUGGCAUAUCUUAGCCCUCCACUCUGAGUCGCUCCGUUGCAUAGAGGUCUUGUAGUGUAAUAGUUAGACUUGUAAAAAAAAAAAUAUUGUUAAUCCAGUGGACUUAUAUUUGCUAAAGACUUUAUGGUUGUGUAAUGAACUUUAAGUGUGAUGUUAAUUGGUGGGAGUUUAAUGACAUUUGGAUAUUGUCAUCUGGCAAUGAAGUGGACGAUAGCAUCAUUAUCA